CCAGCCUCUGCACAGCCUGGGCCCCAGGCGGGCCAAACCCACAGCCACAGCUCUGGCUGCGGGGUGGGGUCUCCAGGGUAAGGAGACAGGGAGCUGACCCUGGAAGACAACCCAGGAAAAAAGAACAGGAGAAGGAGGAGGGGGGAGAAAAACACAAAGGGAAAGUUUCCCAUGAAAAUAUUUUAUUUUCUUUGAGAACAGGAUACACCUGCAGGGCUUCUCGCCCAGUCGGCCUCUCCCCGCCCUGGCAGUGCCACAUUUCUGGACCAACGGGGCCCUCUGCCGGCCAGGACGCUGCGCGCCGGCGCCUGGUCCAGGGGAGAGGGAACAGGUGACGACGGGUGGAGGGCGGCAGCCCGGGAACGGCCGCAGGGCACGCAGGACAGGGACUGGGCAGGACGCGAGGGUGGCCUCGGCUCCAGGAGUGGCACGGGGUAAGGAGGCGGGGAGACUGGGGAGAUCCGGAGGGCUGCCCACACGAUGCCACCCAGACCCCGGUGUGCCCAUCUGCAGAGUACAGCGAGGGUCCCCAAAGCUCGCCCGUCUGGACAUCCCAGAUCUGGGAGCGAGGAACGAGGAUGGGCAGGAAGGAACGUCGGAGAGAGACGAGCCCAAACCACACUAACUGCUGCUGCGGAGAAGCGCGCAGGACAGCGACCCUGGAGGCGGCGGGAGGCAGCAUUCACGGCUGGGCUGGGCCCUGCGCACCGGAGAGGUCCCACAGACGCGCUCCCGCGGGCCGGGGCCCGAGCGAACGUCAGAAGCAAAGCGCAAGAAAAAUAAAAUUCCUCCAGUCUGGAGUUUUUUUUUCCCUUUGGGGCUCAGAGCAAGGAACAUCUGGAUUUUGGAGGUGAACUAGAGGCUGAGGUCACUGCCAGCGCUGAUCCUCGGGUGACCUCCUUCUCAGAACCUCUGUACUGUGAGAACUGGACAAAGGAGUCUUGGCGCUGCUAGAGGCAAGAGGAGUUGCCAGGGACACGGAGGAGAGAUGACGCAGAGCCACUGCUAAAGCAAGUCAGUGUCCGAGAACCGAAAACCAAAAUUAAAACAGGUAACACGAAUUACCAGACACAGGAUGGGGUCAAGGAGAAACCUUAGAAACCCCUGAGCCAAGGGUUCUCCAUGUCAACAGCCACAGACCAGGGAGGAGAGCACUGCUCUGGGGUCCAGGCUGUGGGAUAAGUGUCCACGAAAUGCCAGCCUUCGGAUGACACUAGAAGCUCCAUGGGCCCACUAGGCCAGGGCUGCCAGAGCCCUCAAGUCCUGGGCCUGAAGGGGAGAGCCCAGCUCCCUAUCAGACAUCUGUACUCAGAGUUGCUGCUUCUGGGCACAAUGACCCAGAGUCUGGGAGUCUGAGCACCCCCCAAAGGCUGGGCUAGUGGGCUCUGAGGAUCUACUGCUUUGUGACCUGUGUCAGGACAGUGCUGUGACGCAAAACAGGAGGGCCAAAGAUGUACCCUGACAGUGGCCCGUAGAGCAGGACAUAUCCUUGGGCUCUCACCUCUCUUAAAAGGCCACCCAGGUGAGCAUACCCCAUCUUUCCUGGGGACCUGGGUGCUUGGCUGGGUGAGAAGAGGGUGGGGAGAAGCUGGGGCCUGAGCAAAUCACUUCCUCUCUGGGCCUCAGUUUCCCCAUCUGAGACCCAUCCAACUCCAGGGAGUCGUGUUUCUAAGUUGUAAUGUCACACUGUAGAAACCUCUGCCCAUAGUUCUGCCUCUCUGUGGGUGUGACCAGCCUCACAUCAUUCCCCACUCCGGGGACUCUUCCUGUGGGAGGGGGCCCUCCAAUGCCCUCAUCUGCUCACACCACACUCGGCCAUCUCACCAACAGGGCUGGCACAGCAAAGAGAACACCAACCAAAGCAGCCCCAGCCCACCUGGACUGCAGGACUUGGGGACACCCUGUCAUCCCCACCUCCGAGGGCCUCAACACAGCCCCCAGGGCCUCCACCUGAAGGGCUGGCUCCCACACCCGGGAAGUGUGAGGCAUGGGGUGAGGGGACGCAAAGUGAUGACAUGUUUAAAGGCACAGAGAUUACGUCCAAAAAAAUGAAGUGUGAGGUUGUAAAUGUGUGUCUGGAAGGCGCUGUAGGCCUUAUAGAGUUCCAUUCUGUGGGGCGUGGAGGGUUCUCUUCUGGCCACCCAGAAAGUCCCAAGGAAAGAGGCGGCCAGCUGAGGUUCCAGCCAGUGACUGGCAGGGCUAUAGUUGGCAAAAAGGGGACUGGAGAGAUGAGCACCAUCUGUGGAAGGGGAAGGAAGACUGGGGUUCUGCUUUCACUGGGGGCUGUCAGCUCAUAGCAGCUUGGGGGGCUAUCCCAGCCAGACUGAGUGGCCCUAUGGCACCUGAUUUUGAGUGCUAAGCCUCCCCCAGGUAUCAGCAGGGGAGGAAUUCUGAGAGACCCCUUCAGUCCAGGGAGUGAGAACCAAGGUCUAUAGGAGGACCAGACUUUGCCGGGCCAUGCAACAUGGGAGUGGAGUGGAGGGGGGGUUGGGGGGGGCAGUGCCCGGUGCAGAGUGACGUUGGGAAUACCCCUGAGGGUCUGGGAGAGGCUGCCCUUGCCCCCUGUGCCUGGGGUGACGGCAGCAACUGAGGUGGUGCCACCAGCUACCCCCACCCCAGCUGGACCUGGGGACACAGGUUCCCUCACCCAGGAGUCUCCCAGGCCUCAUACCUUCCCAUCAGGUCUGACCUCCUCACCCCGCCCCUGCCUGCAUUCCCAUCUCCUCCAUGGCCAAGGUGGCCCUACUGCCUACAGACCUCAAGGCGCCCAUGCAGUCUGGACCUCUUUGGAGGGGGCCAGGUGCUUCCCACCUCUGUGUCCACAACUCCUGCCUCCCCCACACCCAGCCCCAGCCCACCUUUGCAGCUUCUGGUCACCUGCAACACCUCCCCUGGCCAUCCCACGUUGGCCUCGCCUCACUGUGUCUGCCCAGCGUGGAGAAGGAAGGUAAAUUAACGUGGAACAGCCACUGACAGACCAGCACCUGGUUCAGUUGACCCUGGAUGGUAAACUGAGGCCUAGAGAACUCGGCAAAUUAGCUCAAAGGACACAAAGCAAGUGGGGGUGGGGCAGUGGCAAACACAUGAUCCCAGUCUCCUGCUUUCACCAGCUAAGCCACCUCCAGAUAAUCUUGCUGGCCUCAGCACAGCAUGAGGAGGGUGUGUUAUCCAAGGAGGUCAGAGCUUUUUCUUCCAGCAUAGCAUGCUCUGGCCAAUGGCAAAGUGGCCCCGUGUUUCUGUUAGAGAAACCUCGGCUUGGGGCUUUUUUUAUUCCCCCUGCCGUGGCCACCCAAGCCUGCUUGGCACAGGCCAGCUUUCUGGGAAAGGACAUCCAGAGUAUGAGGCAGGACAAGCUGACACUAAUAAGGGGGCUGCAGCCACCCUGUGCAGCAUGAGGGAAAGCAAGGAGUGGUCCAGGCUGGGCUGCGUCUCUACCCUGUACAUGUUCCUAACCAGAGUUAUGGCAGUGCUCUCCAAGGGGCUGAUGGGCACAGCUCCAAGAGGACCUCAUCAGCGCCAGGGAGGGGUGUGUACUGUGAAACAAAGCCCACCCCGAGACAGGAAAGACAAGGGUGGUAGGUUGUGACGGCUCACUGGCACUUUCGCAAACAUCCAACUUCAUGGAGACCUUGGCGCUGUGAACUGCCAGAAUCAUGCACAGCAGUGGGUCCUGAGAAUGUUGACACCCAGCCAUGCAGAGGGGGCUACCCAGGUCUCAGCAGAACAGCAAACUCCUGCAAAGCUGGGGGUGCCCACCAUGACCCCAAGCUGGGCAAGGGCAGCCCACCUCCCUGGGCCAGGCCCACCCGACAUCUUUAAGGCCUAGUUUGGAUGCAGAAGCAAGGCCUCAAUUGUCAAUUCAGUGGCUUUCCCAGUCGCCUCCUCCCAGGGCCAGAGACAGAGACCGAACGCACAGAGGACCGCCUUCCCAGCUGAUGCCCACCCACUCCUCAGCCACUCAGGCCUCAGUUGCCCAGCCAACAGCAUGAUGAGAAUGAGGUUUGGGGAGGAUCUAGGAGGGCCAGACUGGGGAGCUUGCGCUGCCCAGAUGCUGCCCAGAACAGGGAGUGGUUCUCUCAGGUGGUCUGGAAGGAGUGGGUGAGCAGCUGCUUAUCAGAAAACAUUGCCUAAUUGGGGCCUAAUUGGGAAGGUUUAUGGGGCCAGUAAGGGGGGCUCCUUGGGGAGAUGGUGAAAGCCACUCAUGAGUCAUUUGAAACUGAGCCGGACAAAGAGCUCAAGGAGAAACGAUCCCACCCAGCCUGCUAGCCAUGGGUAGAAUGAGCUCAUGGGCUCUGGGAUGCACAUGCGUGCAUGUGUGUGCACGUGUGUGUGUGUGAGAGAGAGAGAGGGAGGGGAGGGGAGGAGAAGAGAGGAGCUGGUACUCAUACAGCUGGUACUCAGAAGCUGAGCCCUGCAGAGCCUCCACUGCGGGCCCCAUCACUGCAUGGCCAGACUGCCCCCUGCAGGUCGGGGAGGGAAGGGCCCAGUAUCUCAGCCAGCAUCCUGGCUUAGCAUCCUCACCCAGCAUCCAGGCCAGCAUAAACAUACCUUCUCUGCAGUGCCCAGCACAGGACCUGUCCUGGGACAGAUGCCAAAUGGACAUGGAGCUUAUUCUUCACAGUGGGACACCAUCUGUUCACACCACUUCAUCCUCUGUGAGAUGUGUGUUGGAGACUUGGAUGCAUAAUAAACAUUUUAACAUGUUUAUUCAAAUGUUUAAAACUUGUUUUGAAAGAAAUGUAGAUUCACAUGCAAUUGUGAAAAAUAAUAAGAGACUCUUUGUACCCUUCACCGGGCUUCCCCUAAUGGACAAUAUGACAGCCAGGAAACUGACAUUGACAAAAUGCAUCGACCUUGCUACAUGAACUCAUCUGUGUGCAUGUGUGUUUAGUUCUAUGCACUUUUAUCACACAUGGAAGUUCAUUUGUCCACCACAGUCACACUGAACAUCUCCAUCACUCAUGGAGAUCCCUUAUGCUGCCCUGUUAUAGCCACACACCCCUGGCGUCUACUAAUCCACUCUCCAUCUAUCAUUUUGUCAGUUCAGGAAUGCUAUAUACACGGAAUCAUACAGUAACCUUUGGGGAUUGGCUUUUGCACUAAGCAAAAUUUCCUGGAGAUCCAUUCAGGUUGUCAAGUGUAUCAACAGCCCCUUCCUUUUGAUUGCUUCAUAGGAUUCUACUGUAUGGAUAUACCAUUCACACACUGAGGGACAUCUGGGCUGUGUCCAGUUUCUGGUUAUUAUGAAUAAAACUGCUGUUAACAUUUGUGUA